rnacentral:rRNA from 1 species
GAUGAACGCUGGCGGCGUGCCUAAUACAUGCAAGUCGAGCGAAUGGAUUAAGAGCUUGCUCUUAUGAAGUUAGCGGCGGACGGGUGAGUAACACGUGGGUAACCUGCCCAUAAGACUGGGAUAACUCCGGGAAACCGGGGCUAAUACCGGAUAACAUUUUGAACCGCAUGGUUCGAAAUUGAAAGGCGGCUUCGGCUGUCACUUAUGGAUGGACUCGCGUCGCAUUAGCUAGUUGGUGAGGUAACGGCUCACCAAGGCAACGAUGCGUAGCCGACCUGAGAGGGUGAGCGGCCACACUGGGACUGAGACACGGCCCAGACUCCGACGGGACGCAGCAGUAGGGAAUCUGCCGCAAUGGACUACAGUCUGACGGAGCAACGCCGCGUGAGUGAUGAAGGCUUUCGGGUCGUAAAACUCUGUUGUUAGGGAAGAACAAGUGCUAGUUGAAUAAGCUGGCACCUUGACGGUACCUAACCAGAAAGCCACGGCUAACUACGUGCCAGCAGCCGCAGUAA